rnacentral:rRNA from 1 species
CCCUAGAGGAGCCUGUUCCAUAAUCGAUAAACCCCGAUCCACCUCACCCUCUCUUGCUUAGCCUAUAUACCGCCAUCUUCAGCGAACCCUGAUAAAGGUUACAAAGUUAGCACAAACGCCCUGCCGCCGCAAAAACGUUAGGUCAAGGUGUAGCCCAUGAGAGGGUAAAAAUGGGCUACAUUUUCUGUAUCAGAAAACUCCACGAAAACUCCUAUGAAACCUGGGAGUCCAAGGAGGAUUUAGCAGUAAAUUAAGAAUAGAGUGCUUAAUUGAACCAGGCCAUAAAGCGCGUACACACCGCCCGUCACUCCCCUCAAAUAUAUUUAAGGAACACUUUAACUAAACGCCCUAGUAUUUAUAUAGAGGGGAUAAGUCGUAACAUGGUAAGUGUACUGGAAGGUGCACUUGGAU